CAAUAGCGUAUAUUAAAGUUGUUGCGGUUAAAAAGCUCGUAGUUGGAUUUCUGCCGAGGACGACCGGUCCGCCCUCUGGGUGAGUAUCUGGCUCGGCCUGGGCAUCUUCUUGGAGAACGUAGCUGCACUUGACUGUGUGGUGCGGUAUCCAGGACUUUUACUUUGAGGAAAUUAGAGUGUUUCAAGCAGGCUUACGCCUUGAAUACAUUAGCAUGGAAUAAUAAGAUAGGACCUCGGUUCUAUUUUGUUGGUUUCUAGAGCUGAGGUAAUGAUUAAUAGGGAUAGUUGGGGGCAUUCGUAUUUAACUGUCAGAGGUGAAAUUCUUGGAUUUGUUAAAGACGGACUACUGCGGAAGCAUUUGCCAAGGAUGUUUUCAUUG
rnacentral:rRNA from 1 species